CGCGUCGCUCCAGGAAUAUGUUCAAGAUGGCCGACGCCAGGAUGUUUUCGAUGUUGUGAAUCCCGUUGCAACGCUUUCCGUCACAAUGAGUGAACCGAAGGAGAAACGGAGAAAAGAGGACACGAGACGCAAGAGAAGUUCUAGAUCUCCUAGUCCGGAGCACAGAUCAAAGCACACCAAGGCUGGCCCACAUGUGCAGGUUGCAAAAACUGAUAGCGGCCACAGAGAGAACCCCGAAAGGCACAGAGACAGGCAUGAACGGCGUCGGAGAAGCACAAGCAGGGAGAAUGACAACAAGCGGCGGAAACACGAAGAUGAUGGCCGUCACAGGCCACCCCACUCCCGGGAUAACCAUCGAGAUCGGGACAGUCCACCACGCAGGGACAAGCGGCGACAGCGGCGGCGCUCUGGUGAUGGGGAGAAGCAUCAGUGGGGCAAGAAGGAGCCCAAGGAGGAGCCAGAAGAGAAGGUGGCGGUGAAGCCCGACUUUGGCCUGUCUGGCAAGCUGGCUGAAGACACCAACAUCUACAACGGCGUAGUCAUCAAGUACAACGAACCACUUGAAGCUCGCAAACCAAAGCGCCGGUGGCGGCUUUACCCUUUCAAGGGCGACGUCAGCCUGCCCUUCAUUCCACUGCACCGGCAGAGUGCCUACUUGCUUGGCAGGUCGAGACUGAUUGCCGACAUCCCAAUCGACCACCCUUCCUGCUCCAAGCAGCAUGCAGUGUUGCAGUUUCGGCUGGUGCCAUACACGCGCAACGACGGCACGAUGGGGCGUCGUGUGCGACCCUAUGUCAUUGAUCUCGAGUCGGCCAAUGGUACCUUCGUCAACAACAAGCAAGUUGAGCCUCGCCGCUACGUCGAACUGCUCGAGCAGGACGUUCUCAAGUUUGGGUUCAGCACCCGUGAAUAUGUCAUUCUCCACGAGGAGUCACAAGGGGAGCACCUCGAUGACGAUGUUGCCGGCACCGGUGAGGAGGAGGAGCCACCGUCGAACACCAUUGCAGCAUAAAGUGACACGUGUGAUGCAUUGCUGCUGCUGUGGACUAAGUUAAAGCAGAUAGAUUGAUUGAGGAAAGGAUGAAAAAUAAUAGGUUGAUUUCUGUUUUUCUGUGACCAACUGAAUUCUUCUACAUCACUGUAAGAUGAGCCCAGGACAUUCGUGUGUGCUCCACAUGUGAAGUUUGUGGCAUGUUGACGUUGCAGUGCCCAUGGAACUCUUGCAGGGUUUUGCGGUGGAACUGUGUUUCAAUCUCUGCAACAUUCUUUCAGUGUCUGUUGAAAGAGGAACUGCAGUGAGCACCAGUGCAGCAUAGGCACGCUAGUUCCUUGGUGAUGCAGUUGAAGACUAUUGUUUGGUUACAGUUAAUUGCUUUGUAAGGAUUAAUACAUUAGGCAGGGAUGGGUUGCUGUUUGUUUUAGCUUAUUUUUUCUUCUUUAUUGUCACUGUGAUCGACCAAGCAUUGCCAUACUGCCAUACAAGGAACGCAGAAUAUCAAUGUUUGCUCAGCACAUGAGUUAACGAGAAGCUGCCGUUCGGCAGUGCAAGGCAUUUGUGUCACUGCAGCAUGGCUGACGGCUAGACUUAGUGUGAAGUGGAUUGUCUGGGAAAGAAUGCAACGGCAAAGAUUAUUAUCCUCACUUUUAUUGACUAGAUGCUGCUGCAUUGCUAAUAAGCAGGUGCAGACCAUCACUGUUUGCACUGCAUAUUAAUCUGCUGUGUGCAUUAUGUACUUUGGCAUCCUGUCAUUAUUUAGCAGGCACUGUGCAUAGGUUAGGCUGUUGAAAUUAGGUUUUGACAGAUACAGGUCAACCAGGAAAGAAAGGUGCUGAAACUUGGGUGAUUGUUCUUUGUGGCCAUGUGGAUGCUAUGCUGUGUAAUAAUAGGUGUAAGACAUUGGUGCACGCACCUCAUUUGAAUGUUGUGGUAUGUUGUCUGGUAUUGCGGUGUCAUAUGGUUACAUGAUUAGGUUCUCAGUUAUAGCGUAUGCUGAUGUGAUGGUCAUGAGGAAAAAGCUUUGGUGGAGGUGGACUGACUGGAAAAGUCAAGCAUUUGAGGGAAGGGUCAUUAUUUUUGCUAUGAAUAGUAUUUCUUUGUGACCAGCUAGAUGUUCACUGAAGGACAGAUGCUACAAAUGCUGAUGUAUGCAUACACUCUAUGCCAGCUGUUUGGCUGGUUGGUAUUUAAAAUUUUCUGUCAUUUACAGUAUCUUCGACUGAUAGUUUAAUAGAUCUCCUGCAACACAACAAAGGUUGUGUAAGGUGGCACCUACGCUGUUUCAUGAGUGCAAGGGGGCUCUAAUAAUGAUAAUCAGGCAUCAUUAUUUCCAUUUCAGCCUGCUUCUGCUUACAAUAAAGCCUAAGAGCUGAGUUAGUGGUCAUUGUAUUACUGUGGGAGUGCUUUGAAAUGACCAGUCAAAGGUUUUGUUAGUAAGCACUCUGUCCCAAGGUGUUCUGUGUGUCCAUUUUUUUUAUGAGAGCAGAUUGCCUCUAUAGCUAUCUGCAAAUGUCCUCUUGGCAUUCUUCUGCAGGAAAGCAUCCGUGCACCUGAUCCCCGACCAUGGUCACGUCUGGCUUUCUCCCAGGUGUUUCCUUGUUCCUUGAAGUAUGUCUUGUGAGAGGCAAGAACCUGAGCUCAUAGGCAACGCUUAUGCUAGAACAUGCAGCUGCAACCUCGUGUCAUAAAGGAGGAGGAGCUGCGUCAAACCCCAGUGUUUUAAGUUCAGCAUCAGUGUUAAAAGUGUGUUCUUAUAGAUGUUUAGAAAAUGAUGACAGUCAAAGAACCAUAGGCUAAAAGAUUUUGUCUACAUGUUUUAAUAUUAUGUGCGGAGCGAUGGCCUGCAUCAUUACAGCUGUCUGCUACAUCAUGCAUGCAGCAAGGUGGUUUCAUAUGACAGGAGGAGCAGGUCCUUUCUGUCACAGUGUACACAUUUGUGCAAAAGGUGUAAAAUGACAGUACCUAUGUGCCCAUUCUUACCGAGCAAUGUGUGUAAAGUUUAUAUUUAAUGCUUCGGGACUUUGUUGACACAGCUGGGUGUUAUAGGGAUACUGCCCAUUGUAGCAAGUGUCUGCCAUAAGUAGGUGGUGUUGUGCUCAUUGUCAAACUGCAGCCGCCAGCCUCGUACUGUCUCAUAUGCUGUGGCGCUAUACAAGUGGAUGGCACUUGGACUUUGUAAGGGCGCAGGUGUUUGCGAAAACUCUUGCCUUGUCACGUUGUGUCCUCCUUCUGCCAGCUUUUGGAGAAAUCGUCAUUUGGUCAGUGUCUUGCAGUGCCUGACAAGUUGCUUGCAUUUAUUGUUUUUUUUAGCAGCGCCUCUGUACGGCAGUUCCUGCCACAUUUAUCUGAAACAGCCCUCUAAUGGUAUGAGAGUGUAGCAUGUGCUUGGCUACCAUUGACCAUACGCCCUGCCCCUCACCCCAGAAUGGCUCUGCUUGGGGUGCAGUUAUCAUCAGUCAUCACGUUUCAUCAAUCAUAACGUGGUUACGUUUGCCGUGAAGUUUUAUACAACUGUUACUAGAGGGAGGCCUGGCACUGCAGAUGUUAUUAGCCACCAUGGGAGUGAUUGUGUAUGAAAGGGCACAUUCUGGGACGUGAGCUGUUUGUGAAUCGGAAGAAUGUGUUGUCACUCAGCAAUGCUAUGGUUUUCCAGCUUGUGCAAAGUUCGGAGCACGGAUGGUGGCAUGACUUACUGUAGCAUGCUACCUAGCAAACCAGCUUUUGUGUCUUCAAAGCAGUACUUUGAAGGUGUGAAGUUCAAAACUUCCGCGCCCCCGAGUCG
rnacentral:misc_RNA from 1 species